rnacentral:rRNA from 1 species
GAUGAACGCUAGCGGGAGGCCUAACACAUGCAAGCCGAGCGGUAGAGUCUCUUCGGAGACUUGAGAGCGGCGCACGGGUGCGGAACACGUGUGCAACCUGCCUUUAUCUGGGGGAUAGCCUUUCUAAGGGAAGAUUAAUACCCCAUAAUAUACUGGAUGGCAUCAUCUGGUAUUGAAAACUCCGGUGGAUAGAGAUGGGCACGCGCAAGAUUAGAUAGUUGGUGAGGUAACGGCUCACCAAGUCAGCGAUCUUUAGGGGGCCUGAGAGGGUGAUCCCCCACACUGGUACUGAGACACGGACCAGACUCCUACGGGAGGCAGCAGUGAGGAAGAUUGGACAAUGGGUGAGAGCCUGAUCCAGCCAUCCCGCGUGAAGGACGACGGCCCUAUGGGUUGUAACCUUCUUUUGUAUAGGGAUAAACCUAGAUACGUGUAUCUAGCUGAAGGUACUAGACGAAUAAGCACCGGCUAACUCCGUG